rnacentral:rRNA from 1 species
GGGAGCUACUUCGAAACAGCUAAAAGAGCUAACCCAUCUCUGUUGCAAUAGAGUGUGAUGAUUUCCAAGUAGAGGUGAUAAACCUACCGCACCUAGAGAUAGCUGGUUACUCAAAAAAAGAAUUUAAGUUCAACCUUAAGUUUUCUUAGUCUUAAAAACAUUCACAAAACUUAAGAGCCAUUCAAAUAAGGCACAGCUUAUUUGAAAUAGGAUACAACCUAAAAUAUAGGGUAAUAUUACCAGAAAAAAUAUCAAGUGGGCCUAAAAACAGCCACCUUUUAAAAAACGUUAAAGUUUACUAUUAAUUCUUUACUAAUUUCCCCAUUUUUAUAAAACCCAUAAAUACUAUUGAGUAAUUCUAUACUUCUAUAGAAGUUUUUAUGCUAGAACUAGUAAUAAGAAAUUGAAUUUCUCUAAAAUGUAAGUUUAAGCCACUUUAGACAAUCUACCGGCAAUUAACGUAAAUGAAUCAAUUUUAGUAACACAACAAGAAAAACCUAAAAAUACUAACGUUAAUCUUACACUAGAACAUUUUUAGAAAGAUUAAAAGAG